UACAGAGGUCCCAAGCGUUGUUCGGAUUCAUUGGGCGUAAAGGGUGUGUAGGCGGCGCCGUAAGUCAGGUGUGAAAUCUCGGGGCUUAACUCCGAAACUGCAUUUGAUACUGCGGUGCUUGAGGACUGGAGAGGAGACUGGAAUUUACGGUGUAGCGGUGAAAUGCGUAGAUAUCAGGAGGAACACCGGUGGCGAAGGCGGCAUCCUGGACCGACACUGACGCUGAGGAGCGAAAGCCAGGGGAGCAAACGGG
rnacentral:rRNA from 1 species